rnacentral:misc_RNA from 1 species
ACAUGUACUUUUACCUUUUUGCACUUAAGUGACAACAUGAAUGAUGGCAUAAAAAUUACUGGCAUGGCAUUGAUGUCAGCAUGCCACAUCAACACCACAUCAUACAUAGCGCCACAUCAGUAUGCCAUGUUAAUGUCAUUUAAUAUUGUUAGCAAUUUAUUCUUAUGGUGCAAACGAAGCCAAAGUUCAUGUCCUUAAUUGUAACAAAACAAAGUAUAUGUCCUUAUUGCUAAAAAAGCCAAAGUGUAAGGUACUAAAGUAUAGUUUGCCCUAAUUUAUUAAAUUAAGUAUGUGAAUAUAUAUUUAUAAAAUGCAUGAGUAUGUCAAAAACAUAAAUAAAAUUGAAAUUACAAAAAAAAUUGAUGCUACUCGCCCAAAUCCUACUCAUUCGUAAGAUGUUCACUAGCUCAGUAGGAAUAACAUUGUUCGCCUAUGAGACGUUCGCCCGUCCAGCAGGUAGAAGGACGUUCACCCACUAGCCCAUGGGACGUUCGCUCUUCUAGAUGGUAUAAGGAUGUUUGCCCAUGGAUCAUGCUCACUCAACAGGCAUAAGGGACGCGCGAACAUGUAAGAUCUCCCUCUCAUGGGAGAUCUCCUUCCCAUGGUAGAUCUCCCUCUCCCAAGAGAGGAUUCCAAGAUACUCGUAUGACGAGUUAGAAUCCUAACAAGAGGAUGACUUCUAUACCAACAAGAACUCUAUCAACAGGAUAGUUUGAGAUAUUCGGGGAUUAACCCAUAUCGUGACUCAACACUUCUAAUCCCAUUGGGAAUCUAACUGAUACCAUAUCAUGACUCAACACUUCUAAUCCCAUUGGGAAUCUAACUGAUACCAUAUCA